AGCAGCCGCGGUAAUUCCAGCUCCAAUAGCGUAUAUUAAAGUUGUUGCAGUUAAAAAGCUCGUAGUUGAAUUUCGGGGUCAGUAGAUUGGUCAUGCCACUGGUAUGUACUGGUCUCACUGAUUACUCCUUCCUGAUGAGCCGUAAUGCCAUUAAUUUGGUGUUGCGGGGAAACUGGACUGUUACUUUGAAAAAUUAGAGUGUUUAAAGCAGGCUAACGCUUGAAUACAUUAGCAUGGAAUAAUGAAAUAGGACGUUCGAUCCUAUUUUGUUGGUUUCUAGGAUUGACGUAAUGAUUAAUAGGGAUAGUUGGGGGCAUUAGUAUUCAAUUGUCAGAGGUGAAAUUCUUGGAUUUAUUGAAGACUAACUACUGCGAAAGCAUUUGCCAAGGAUGUUUUCAUUAAUCAAGAACGAAAGUUAGGGGAUCGAAGACGAUCAGAUACCGUCGUAGUCUUAACCAUAAACUAUGCCGACUAGGGAUCGGAUGAUGUUAAUUUUUAAUGACUCA
rnacentral:rRNA from 1 species